rfam:Tetraodon nigroviridis, WGS project CAAE01000000 data, contig: CNS0BYTZ, chromosome: 7
ACAAAGGCCCUUCUAAGGGCCACCCUUUCACCUAAACGAGCAAAAU